rnacentral:rRNA from 1 species
CCUACGGGUGGCAGCAGUCGAGAAUUUUUCACAAUGGGCGAAAGCCUGAUGGAGCGACGCCGCGUGGGGGAUGAAUGGCUUCGGCCCGUAAACCCCUGUCAUCUGCGAGCAAUACUACCUGCUUAACAGGUUGGUAGUUGAUAGUAGCGGAAGAGGAAGGGACGGCUAACUCUGUGCCAGCAGCCGCGGUAAUACAGAGGUCCCAAGCGUUGUUCGGAUUUACUGGGCGUAAAGGGUGCGUAGGUGGCUAAAAAAGUUUGAUGUGAAAUCUUGGAGCUCAACUCCGAAACUGCAUUGAAUACUGUUUGGCUUGAGGAAUGGAGAGGAGAUUGGAAUUCUCGGUGUAGCAGUGAAAUGCGUAGAUAUCGAGAGGAACACCAGUGGCAAAAGCGAAUCUCUGGACAUUUCCUGACACUGAGGCACGAAAGCCAAGGGAGCAAACGGGAUUAGAUACCCGUGUAGUC